AUGUUAGAAGACGAAGGGGAUUAUGAGGAGGAAGAGGAAGAUGAGGUGCUUGCUCUUGAAGAGGAGGAGGAAGAAGAAGAAGAAUAUGGGGAUGAAGAGGAAGAAGAGGUAGAAGAAAGUGAUGAGGAGAUCGUAGAGGAGGAAGAAGAGGAGGAGGAAUUAGCAAAGGAAGCAGUGGUGGAGGAAAAGAGAAAAGAGGAGGCUGAAAAAAAGGAGAAUGAGGAAGCUGAUGCUCAUAAUGAGGAAGAAAAAGAAGAUGAAGAGGAGGAAGCAGCAGCAGAAGUUGUGCAGAAGGAGGAGGACAAAGAAAAGGAGGAAGAGGAGGCUGAUGCAGAUGAAGAAAAUGAAGAUGAAAAGAAGGGAGUAGCAGCAGAAGCUGUGCAGAAGGAGGAGGAAACAGAACAAGAAGAAGAGGAAGCUGAUGCUGAGCAGGAAGAAGAACAUGAAGAGGAAGCUGCUGCUCCUGCUGUCAAGAAGAAAGAUACUUCGAUCUCUGCUGAUUCUGAUGAGGAGAAAGAAGAAACUUCAGAACAAGUCACUUCUAAAGAAACCGAGAAAAGAAAAAAAGAUACUCCUGCUGAUGAUAAAGAUGAUGACCAAAAAGAUGACCAAAGCGAGGAAAAAGAUGUUGACGAUGAGGCCCAAGAGGCUGAUAUCGCCAUAGCUGUUGGUAUUAUAGCUGAUGCUGGUGCUACAGUCGCUGAUGUUGAAGUGCAAGAAACUGGUGGAGAUGAGACAACAGUGGUGGCUGAUGAAGAUGGUGACUCUUCACCUGAAAAAGACAUAACAACCCUGAAAGAAGAGGAGAAAGAUGAAAAGGAUGAAAGCGCAGAGGAGGCGGAAAUCGCUGAAAAAGCACCAGAACCAGAACCGGUCCCUAAAGCGGCAGCCAAGGAAGCGAAAGAAAAAGAAGCAGAGGAGCCUGUGGCAGAGGCUGAAAAAGAAGGUCAGUACAUAAUUAAAGUGCUGCUGUUGUCUCCAAAUAGAGAAACUUUUUUAUUUUAUUUUAUUUUAUUUAAAAAGAAGGUCAGAGCAAAAUUACAGUUUAAGUGCUACUACUGUCUCUAA
rnacentral:lncRNA from 1 species